UGCUUGCCAUUGAUGAUGAUCUUAUAAACCAAAUGUCUGAACAACUGACUUCAGAGUGAUUAUCCUUUUUAUCUGAGGCAAGUG